GACGAACGCUGGCGGCGUGCUUAACACAUGCAAGUCGAACGGAAAGGCCCUGCUUUUGUGGGGUGCUCGAGUGGCGAACGGGUGAGUAACACGUGAGUAACCUGCCCUUGACUUUGGGAUAACUUCAGGAAACUGGGUCUAAUACCGGAUAGGAGCUCCUGCUGCAUGGUGGGGGUUGGAAAGUUUCGGCGGUUGGGGAUGGACUCGCGGCUUAUCAGCUUGUUGGUGGGGUAGUGGCUUACCAAGGCUUUGACGGGUAGCCGGCCUGAGAGGGUGACCGGCAACAUGGGGACUGAGAUACGGCCCAGACUCCUACGGGAGGCAGCAGGGGGGAAUAUUGCACAAGGGGCGGAAGCCUGAUGCAGCAACGCCGCGUGCGGGAUGACGGCCUUCGGGUUGUAAACCGCUUUCGCCUGUGACGAAGCGUGAGUGACGGUAAUGGGUAAAGAAGCACCGGCUAACUACGUG
rnacentral:rRNA from 1 species